rnacentral:rRNA from 1 species
GACGAACCGUGCGAACGUUGUUCGGAAUCACUGGGCUUAAAGGGCGCGUAGGCGGACCAGCAAGUCCGGGGUGAAAUCUUUCGGCUCAACCGGAAAAGUGCCUCGGAUACUGCUGGUCUUGAGGGAGGUAGGGGCAUGUGGAACUUCCGGUGGAGCGGUGAAAUGCGUUGAUAUCGGAAGGAACGCCGGUGGCGAAAGCGACGUGCUGGCCCUCUUCUGACGCUGAGGCGCGAAAGCUAGGGGAGCGAACGGGAUUAGAAACCCGUGUAGU